UUUACCUACGGGACGCAGCAGUAGGAAAUCUUCCACAAUGGACGAAAGUUUGAUGGAGCAACGCCGCGUGAGUGAAGAAGGGUUUCGGCUCGUAAAGCUCUGUUGGUAGUGAAGAAAGAUAGAGGUAGUAACUGGCCUUUAUUUGACGGGAAUUAUUUAGAAAGUCACGGCUAACUACGUGCCAGCAGCCGCGGUAAUACGUAGGUGGCAAGCGUUGGCCGGAUUUAUUGGGCGUAAA
rnacentral:rRNA from 1 species